rnacentral:rRNA from 1 species
AAAUAGCUMCCHCUUCYNSGGRGGVCVVCVGGCGCGCAAAUUGCCCAAUGUCAAAAAAAAACGAUGAGGCAGCGAAAAGAAAUAGAGCCGGCAGUGCCACUGGCAUUGCCGUUUUCAAUGGGGGAUAUUUAAACCCAUCCAAAAUCGAGUAUCAAUUGGAGGACAAGUCUGGUGCCAGCACCCGCGGUAAUUCCAGCUCCAAAA